AGCGAACGCUGGCGGCAGGCUUAACACAUGCAAGUCGAACGGGCUUCUUCGGAAGUCAGUGGCAGACGGGUGAGUAACACGUGGGAACGUGCCCUUCGGUUCGGAAUAACUCAGGGAAACUUGAGCUAAUACCGGAUACGCCCUUUUGGGGAAAGGUUUACUGCCGAAGGAUCGGCCCGCGUCUGAUUAGCUUGUUGGUGGGGUAACGGCCUACCAAGGCGACGAUCAGUAGCUGGUCUGAGAGGAUGAUCAGCCACACUGGGACUGAGACACGGCCCAGACUCCUACGGGAGGCAGCAGUGGGGAAUAUUGGACAAUGGGCGCAGGCCUGAUCCAGCCAUGCCGCGUGAGUGAUGAAGGCCUUAGGGUUGUAAAGCUCUUUUGUCCGGGACGAUAAUGACGGUACCGGAAGAAUAAGCCCCGGCUAACUUCGUG
rnacentral:rRNA from 1 species